rnacentral:rRNA from 1 species
GACGAACGCUGGCGGCGUGCUUAACACAUGCCAGUCGAACGGUGAAGCGCCUUCCUUUUUGGUCGGUGUGUAUGAGCGGCCAACGGGUGAGUAACACGUGAGUAACCUUCCCCCUUCUUCUGGAUAACCGCAUGAAAGUGUGGCUAAUACGGGAUAUUCUGGGUCUGUCGCAUGAUUGGUCUGGGACAGUUAUUGUUUCGGUGGGGGAUGGGCGCGCGGCCUAUCAGCUUGUUGGUGGGGUGAUGGCCUACCAAGGCGGUGACGGGUAGCCGGCCUGAGAGGGUGGACAGUCACACUGGGAGUGAGGGACGGCACAGACACCGACGGGAGGCAGCAGUAGGGAAUAUUGCACAGUGGACGCAAGCCUGAUGCAGCGACGCCGCGUGAGGGAUGGAGGCGUUCGGGUUGUGAACCUCUUUCGCCAGUGAAGCAGGCCUGCCUCGUUUGUGGGUGGGUUGACGGUAGCUGGAUAAGAAGCGCCGGCUAACUACGU